CAUAUGCUUUGCUUUAUUAGAAUUCAUUACCUGGGAAACACAUGAGAAACAAUAUCUUACUACAAUGGACAGCCGUGCCCUCACCUUUGUUAAAACUAAAACGACAAAUAUUUGUCCUGAGACACUAUCAUGAUAAAGAAUUUAGGAAAACGACCUACUGACUAAUCCCUGAAACCUGUUUUUCUUUAUUUCCAUUACUACUCCCAGGGUAUCUCUAGAUUUUUUUUUCACCCCUUCCUGAUGGCAAAUACCAUUGGUGUUUUGAGGAUGAGAUGGGAGAGACUAUAGCUGUUGAAUUCCUUGUUUUAUUUGCAUAUCUCCCACCUAUUUAAAAGAACACAUCUUAGCACACAAAGUAUUUUUCCAGGUAUAAAAUCUCUGGUUUCAACCCCCAGGCAUAACAAGUCCUGUGUGCUUCCAGCACUGAGUCAACCUAUUUG
rnacentral:lncRNA from 1 species